CAAAAACAGAAAGAGAUAGAUAUACGAUCGUAUUGUGUCGCGUAAGGCCUAACAGUCGCGCACACGCGGCUGCCAUUUUAGUUGCGUCAGCGACGCGGACCGAGUCGUACUGCAUGUGAGGGUCCUCCAGCGCCACAAUGAGGACAUACAAGCGAAAAACUGAAGCACGUAAAAGAAAGACAGCUGUUCUUACGGACACUCCAGAGAAAAAUGCUUUAGCAGAAGAACAGGCUAGUAAAAAGAAGAAAAAAGAAAGCGAAACUAAAAAGAAGGUUAAGGGAAAAGGGACGGGAAAAUGCAAGGGAAAGGGUAAACAAACAAAAAAGCCGACUAAAAACCCCGCUAAGAGAGGAGUAUCGCAAGAUGACGACAGUUCUGAUGACGAACAAGAAUUGUUCUGUAUCAUUUGUUGUGAUGCCUAUUCUAACUCUGCCCCUGGAGAACAAUGGAUUGAAUGCAGAGAAUGUAAGAAUUGGGCCCAUUUGCAAUGUAUUGAAGAUGAAGAAAACCAAGCAUUUGUAUGUCCUAAUUGUUAUUCUGAUCAAUCAACUGGAGAGUAACUCGUUUUGGUAUAUUUUUUAUUUCUUAAUAAAAAGACUCGAGACUGAUUAAAAAGUUAAUAAUUUUGGAACAUAUUAAUAAUUGAUCUCAUUCGCAUAAAAAUAAGUACAAACUAUUGAUUAAAAAUACGUUUUUAUGUUUGAAUAAUUACAUAAGAAGCUUC